AGCGAAUGGAUUAAGAGCUUGCUCUUAUGAAGUUAGCGGCGGACGGGUGAGUAACACGUGGGUAACCUGCCCAUAAGACUGGGAUAACUCCGGGAAACCGGGGCUAAUACCGGAUAACAUUUUGAACCGCAUGGUUCGAAAUUGAAAGGCGGCUUCGGCUGUCACUUAUGGAUGGACCCGCGUCGCAUUAGCUAGUUGGUGAGGUAACGGCUCACCAAGGCAACGAUGCGUAGCCAACCUGAGAGGGUGAUCGGCCACACUGGGACUGAGACACGGCCCAGACUCCUACGGGAGGCAGCAGUAGGGAAUCUUCCGCAAUGGACGAAAGUCUGACGGAGCAACGCCGCGUGAGUGAUGAAGGCUUUCGGGUCGUAAAACUCUGUUGUUAGGGAAGAACAAGUGCUAGUUGAAUAAGCUGGCACCUUGACGGUACCUAACCAGAAAGCCACGGCUAACUACGUGCCAGCAGCCGCGGUAAUACGUAGGUGGCAAGCGUUAUCCGGAAUUAUUGGGCGUAAAGCGCGCGCAGGUGGUUUCUUAAGUCUGAUGUGAAAGCCCACGGCUCAACCGUGGAGGGUCAUUGGAAAACGGGAGACUUGAGUGCAGAAGAGGAAAGUGGAAUUCCAUGUGUAGCGGUGAAAUGCGUAGAGAUAUGGAGGAACACCAGUGGCGAAGGCGACUUUCUGGUCUGUAACUGACACUGAGGCGCGAAAGCGUGGGGAGCAAACA
rnacentral:rRNA from 1 species